UGUUACUUUUUUAUAGGAUAUUUUGGAAUAGUAAUGUUAAUGAAAUUUAACGGAUUUGGCGGCAAGAUAGCCCCUUAGAGGAACCUGCCCUGUAAACGAUGAGCCACGAGAACCUUACUUUUUUAGGAAAUUCAGUUUGUAUACCGCUGUUGUCAGUCAGAUUCUGGAGAAUAUUUUCUUAUAUGAUAAAAUCAUUGACUUCAAGUAAAGGUGCAGCUUAUAAAAAAGAUAGAGGUGGGUUACAUUUAUGAGAUUAAGGACGGAAAAGAUUUUUGAAAUGGUCUUUGAAGGUGGAUUUAACUGUAAAAUUAAUUAAGAUUUGGUGAGAGCUCUAUCUUGUG
rnacentral:rRNA from 1 species